AAACAACAGACGGUGGCUUCAAAGUGGCUCUACAGAAGAGAAAGCAGUAGUCUUCACAUAGCAAUUUUUCCUAGAGAUUCUUUAUUAAAGAAAAGGAAAAAAUGUGAAAUUGCUACUCAGGAAAGGCCAUUCUAAAUGAGCAAAGCCAAUAUAAACCAAAAGUAUAUACUUUUCCUUGAGCAGAAAAACCCGAGGACUCCAUUACUUAUCUAUACUGAGGUAGGAUUUUCCAGAGGCUAUCCCUGCUCUGGCCAAGACCUACAACUGAAUCCACUUAGCCAAAGGAGCAGAGGGUCAGAGGAGCUUGCAGAAAGGAGGGAGAAAGAAAAGAAAGAUCAACUGAUAAAAGGAAAAAAGAAAGAAGGAAAUUCAGAACAAAAAGCACUCUGGGAUUUUGCAUAUAUCAGGACCUGUGCUAAAGGUAUCCAUGUUCAUUUUCUUAUGAAGUCUCUCAACAAUAUUAUAACUCAAGGAAAGAAGUUA
rnacentral:lncRNA from 1 species